GUGAAUGCUUUGGGGUGGGGUGACUGCGUACCUUUUGUAUAAUGGGUCAGCGACUUAUAUUCUGUAGCAAGGUUAACCGAAUAGGGGAGCCGGAGGGAAACCGAGUCUUAAUUGGGCGUUAAGUUGCAGGGUAUAGACCCGAAACCCGGUGAUCUAGCCAUGGGCAGGUUGAAGGUUGGGUAACACUAACUGGAGGACCGAACCGACUAAUGUUGAAAAAUUAGCGGAUGACCUGUGGCUGGGGGUGAAAGGCCAAUCAAACCGGGAGAUAGCUGGUUCUCCCCGAAAGCUAUUUAGGUAGCGCCUCGUGAAUUCAUCUCCGGGGGUAGAGCACUGUUUCGGCUAGGGGGCCAUCCCGGCUUACCAACCCGAUGCAAACUGCGAAUACCGGAGAAUGUUAUCACGGGAGACACACGGCGGGUGCUAACGUCCGUCGUGAAGAGGGAAACAACCCAGACCGCCAGCUAAGGUCCCAAAGUCAUGGUUAAGUGGGAAACGAUGUGGGAAGGCCCAGACAGCCAGGAUGUUGGCUUAGAAGCAGCCAUCAUUUAAAGAAAGCGUAAUAGCUCACUGGUCGAGUCGGCCUGCGCGGAAGAUGUAACGGGGCUAAACCAUGCACCGAAGCUGCGGCAGCGAACGUAUCACCCAAGACAACUUUACGGAGUUGACGAUUGACGGAGCGAAGCGACGUCAAAGCGUUCAUUAAAGUCGAGUUGGCUUAGGGAUACGUUCGUUGGGUAGGGGAGCGUUCUGUAAGCCUGUGAAGGUGUGUCGUGAGGCAUGCUGGAGGUAUCAGAAGUGCGAAUGCUGACAUAAGUAACGAUAAAGCGGGUGAAAAGCCCGCUCGCCGGAAGACCAAGGGUUCCUGUCCAACGUUAAUCGGGGCAGGGUGAGUCGACCCCUAAGGCGAGGCCGAAAGGCGUAGUCGAUGGGAAACGGGUUAAUAUUCCCGUACUUGGUGUUACUGCGAAGGGGGGACGGAGAAGGCUAUGUUGGCCGGGCGACGGUUGUCCCGGUUUAAGCGUGUAGGUGUGUGUUCCAGGUAAAUCCGGUU
rnacentral:rRNA from 2 species